CAAAUAAUAUACAUAUUAAAAUAAAGUAAAAUAAAACAAAACAAAUAAAUAAAAUGGACACUACAUUUUGUUAAAAGAAAAGAUGACCGAAUUUCAACAUAAAUGACAUAUACAAAAGAAAAGAUAGACUCCGAACUACAAUCUUGAAAUAGUUUGGAUAACAGAAAGAAAAACAAAAUAAACUUUGACAAAUCCUUUCUAUGAAGGGAAGGAGUGACUUCUUAAUUGUUGAUCUUGAUAUCUUCUCCAGUUUGCACAUCGGUAUGACUAGAUCUUUUACUACUGUCAAUGUCCUGCACCAUAAUCAAUUUAUCUUGAAUCAUUCUUUCUAUUUCUCUUUUCAAAGCACGAAAAUCUUCUGUACUAUGAUCCUGAACAUCAGAAUGAUAUACACAUCAUACAUUAGGAUAAAAGUUCCUUGAAUGUGGGUCAGGGGUGUACCCAAGAAGAGGAGUGAUCAUGUCUUUUUAUCUCAAUUUCUGAAAUAAGCUAGUAUUUGAUUCUCCAAUUGGUGUAAAAUUAUCCCUUAGAUUCUGUUUUUUUUUCAUUGUUUGGCUUGGUGCGAAAAUCAAAUAUAGAGGGGCUUGGGUAUGUUGGUGGAGUUGGAAGAUGAUUCUGAGGGGUUGGUGCACGCCAUUGCGGGUAAGGAGUCUGAACAUAUGGUUGUGCAUUAUAGAUAGAAUACUGAGGAGAUGGAAUGGAAUAUAAUGGAUUUUAUGGUGGAACAUAGUGUCG
rnacentral:lncRNA from 1 species